ensembl:lncRNA
UUAUUUUAUUUAAGGCAAAAAAAAAAAAUAUAAAAAAAAAAAAAUUCUCAAUUUAUAGAUCCGGGGGAAAUCCUGGGAAUGGUUUCAUCCCGGAUUCCCAGCCCAAUUCCGGGAUUCUGGGAUUCUUUUCCAGGAAUUCCCGGGAAUUUCGGCCCCUGGAUAGCGGCGGCCGUGGCCGUGGGGCUGAUCCUGCUCCUGGCGGGAAGCGUCUGCUGCUGGAAGCGGAAAAAGAAUUCCCGGGAAGGUGAGGCGGGAAUGUCGGAGCAGGAUCCCGAGCAGGGGGAAGGGUCUGAUCCUUGGAAUGCCCGAAAUCCGGGAAUUCCGGUCCUUGGAAUGCCCGAAAUCCGGGAAUUCCGGUCCUUGGAAUGCCCAAAAUCCGGGAAUUCUGACCCCUGGAACCCCAAUUUGGGAAUUCUGACCCUUGGAACCCCAAAAUCUGGGAAUUCUGACCCCAAACUGACCUCCAGAACCCAAAAAUCUGGGAAUUCUGACCCUUGGAACUCCAAUUUGGGAAUUCUGACCCCAAACUGACCCCCAGAACCCCAAAAUCUGGGAAUUCUGACCCCCAGACCCCCAAAAUCUGGGAAUUCUGACCCCCAGAACCCCAAAAUCUGGGAAUUCUGACCCUUGGAACCCCAAAAUCUGGGAAUUCUGACCCCAAACUGACCCUUGGAACCCCAGUUUGGGAAUUCUGACCCCAAACUGACCCCCAGAACCCCAAAAUCUGGGAAUUCUGACCCCCGGACCCCCAAAAUCUGGGAAUUCUGCUCCCACAGAGCCCCCCGCAGCCCCCCCGGAGCAGCCCCUGACCAUCUACGCCGAGGUGGGAGAGAGGAAACCCCGCCAGGACCCCGUGAGUGCCGGGAAUGUCCCUUCCCACCCAAAAUCCGGGAAUUCCGGCCUUGGGAAAUUGGAGCUCCGAGCUGGGACUGACCCCUGGUCACUCCUUGUCCGGCCAUCCCUCGGACACCCCAAACCGCGGGGGAAUUCCUUCCGCUUUGGGAAAAUCGGGAUUUCGAUCCUUUUUGAACAUUCCCAGAUUUUUUUUUUUAAUUUUUUUUCCCUCUUUUUUUGUGUUUUCCCAGGCCGGGAGCAGCGAGGCCACCGUCUACGCCCUGGUCACUCCCAGGACACUGGAGCAUCCCAGGCAGCAGGAAGAAGCCGGGAAUUUCACCGUCUACUCCACGGUCCAGUUUGGACGGAGGCCUUCCUCCACCAAGAGGAAGAGGCUGGACCGAGCUUUGGUCUCCACCGCCUACUUGGAGGUAACGGGAAAAUCCAUCGGGAAUUUCAUUUGGGAUCCAAAAAAAAUUCCCAAAAAAAAUUCCUAAAUCCCACCCAUUUUCCUCGCAGGAUAACGGGAUUUUCAGGCCCUCGGGUUCCUCCAAUCCCACCGGCCCCAAAACCCCGGAAUUCCCGUCCCUGUGGAAUUCUUCUCCCGGAAAAUCCGGCGGCCGCCAGAUGGAAUAGGGAAAAAUCCAGAAAUCCGGGGUUUUUCACCCAAGAUUCGACCUCCGGAGCGAAGAUUUGGGGGUGGGGAAGUGUGGAUGGGGAUGGAUUUGGGAUUGGACAGAUGGGGAAUUCUCUGGGGGUUUUUGUUUUUUUUUAGGGUUUGGAAAAUUUGGGGAUUUUCUUUUUUUUUUCCUUUUUUUUUUUGGUGCGAAUACAGAUGAAUUCACCCCAAAAUUCCCCGCUGAAGGAAGAAUUUUCCCUAAAAUCCCCCCCCGAAAAUCCACAAUAAAGGAGAAUAAUUUUCCCUAAAAUCCA